GGAGUUUGAUCCUGGCUCAGGAUGAACGCUGGCGGCGUGCCUAAUACAUGCAAGUCGAGCGAACAGAUAAGGAGCUUGCUCCUUUGACGUUAGCGGCGGACGGGUGAGUAACACGUGGAUAACCUACCUAUAAGACUGGGAUAACUUCGGGAAACCGGAGCUAAUACCGGAUAACAUAUUGAACCGCAUGGUUCAAUAGUGAAAGGCGGCUUUGCUGUCACUUAUAGAUGGAUCCGCGCCGUAUUAGCUAGUUGGUAAGGUAACGGCUUACCAAGGCAACGAUACGUAGCCGACCUGAGAGGGUGAUCGGCCACACUGGAACUGAGACACGGUCCAGACUCCUACGGGAGGCAGCAGUAGGGAAUCUUCCGCAAUGGGCGAAAGCCUGACGGAGCAACGCCGCGUGAGUGAUGAAGGUCUUCGGAUCGUAAAACUCUGUUAUCAGGGAAGAACAAAUGUGUAAGUAACUGUGCACAUCUUGACGUACCUGAUCAGAAAGCCACGGCUAA
rnacentral:rRNA from 1 species